GAAGGUUGUUAAAAUCGAAAAAGUGUUUUCUUUUAAUGAAUGAAAUUUGAAGAAAAGCGACUGGAUUACCAAAUCAUCCUUAAUAAUUUAAGACAGUCCAUGGAGUAGAGCUUACAACUAGGUCGAAUAUCAAUAGAGAAGUGUGUUCUAACAUUUUUUGGUUGUAUAGUUUUCAAAAGCAAGUCGAAAUGCUUUAUAUGUGUAAACGAAGGUUCAGAGAAGCUCUUAAACGUUGCGGAAAUAUAUAGCCUAUUUUCACCCACGAUUCUGGGACUGACUGGAGCUACUCACCAUUCAACAUCAUUCAACAUCUGGGAUUUGGAAAUAUUGUCCUCGAGUACACUUUCCGUUCUUUUAAGCCGCCACGCCCACCGCCGCUCGAGCCCGCGAGUCCCGCUGCCGAUUGCCGGGGCACCAGGAUGCGCGGCAAGGUCAGCGACCUCUUGGG